GGGGAUUUGGCUCAGUGGUAGAGUGCUUGCCUAGCAAGCGCAAGGCCCUGGGUUCAAUCCCCAGCUCCA
rnacentral:tRNA from 1 species